rnacentral:rRNA from 1 species
UACGUAGGGGGCAAGCGUUGUCCGGAGUUACUGGGCGUAAAGCGCACGCAGGCGGUCUCUUAAGUUUGGAGUGACAGUUGGUGGCUUAACUGCCAAAGUGCUUCGAAAACUGAGAGACUUGAGGGCUUCAGAGGGACACGGAAUUCCGGGUGGAGUGGUGAAAUGCGUAGAGAUCCGGAGGAACACCAAAGGCGAAGGCAGUGUCCUGGGGAGUACCUGACGCUCAGGUGCGAAAGCCAGGGGAGCGAACGGGAUAGAAACCCC